rnacentral:rRNA from 1 species
CCUACGGGUGGCUGCAGUGAGGAAUAUUGGUCAAUGGGCGCGAGCCUGAACCAGCCAAGUAGCGUGAAGGAUGACUGCCCUACGGGUUGUAAACUUCUUUUAUCAAGGAAUAAAGUGAGGCACGUGUGCCUUUUUGUAUGUACUUUAUGAAUAAGGAUCGGCUAACUCCGUGCCAGCAGCCGCGGUAAUACGGAGGAUCCGAGCGUUAUCCGGAUUUAUUGGGGUUAAAGGGAGCGUAGAUGGGUUGUUAAGUCAGUUGUGAAAGUUUGCGGCUCAACCGUAAAAUUGCAAUUGAUACUGGCAGCCUUGAGUGCAGGUGAGGUAGGCGGAAUGCGUGGUGUAGCGGUGAAAUGCUUAGAUAUCACGAAGAACUCCGAUUGCGAAGGCAGCUUAC